rnacentral:rRNA from 1 species
UACGUAGGGUGCAAGCGUUAUUCGGAAUCACUGGGCUUAAAGCGUGCGUAGGCGGCUGAGAAAGUUGGGUGUGAAAUCCCUCGGCUCAACCGAGGAAUUGCGCUCAAAACUACUUGGCUUGAGGGAGUUAGAGGUGAGCGGAACUAAUGGUGGAGCGGUGAAAUGCGUUGAUAUCAUUAGGAACACCGGUGGCGAAAGCGGCUCACUGGGACUCUUCUGACGCUGAGGCACGAAAGCUAGGGUAGCGAACGGG